rnacentral:rRNA from 1 species
CCUACGGGAGGCAGCAGUGGGGAAUAUUGCACAAUGGGGGAAACCCUGAUGCAGCGACGCCGCGUGAGGGAAGAAGUAAUUCGUUACGUAAAGCUCUAUCAGCAGAGAAGAAAAUGACGGUACCUGAGUAAGAAGCCCCGGCUAACUACGUGCCAGCAGCCGCGGUAAUACGGAGGGGGCAAGCGUUAUCCGGAUUUACUGGGUGUAAAGGGAGCGUAGACGGGGCGGCAAGUCUGGGGUGAAAUGCCGGGGCUUAACUGGCGAACUGCUUUUGAAACUGGCGAACUAGAGUGCGGGAGGGGUAAGCGGAAUUCCUGGUGUAGCGGUGAAAUGCGUAGAGAUUAGGAGGAACACCGGUGGCGAAGGCGGCUUACUAGACCGUAACUGACGUUGAGGCUCGAAAGCGUGGGGAGCAAACAGGAUUAGAUACCCCGGUAGUC